ACACUUCAACUGACGCAGAGGUGUAAGCUUUAGAAGAAAUUGAGUCACAAUUUCUUUGCAUUUUUUAAGCAGAAUAAGUUAUACAGUAAAAGUCAGAUCUGUGAAGAAAUAGGCUAGGAUGCGUAUCCUUUAACUCCAUUUGGUUUAUUUCAUCUCUCUACUUGCUUCGUAAUUUGACCUUUUUUUACUCCAUUCACGUCAUGUUUAAAGGAAGAAAUAGUUUUCAGCUCAUGUGUGGAAGGACAAUAAUUUGCCAGAAAUCGCCUUUUAACACUAUCACUUUGGAAGACUUUGUAUUAUUUGGAAUUUCAACAGAAUUCUUUUUGUCAACAGUUCUAUUGCUGAUGGAGGACAGAAAUUUGCCAGAAAUCGCCUUUUAACACUAUCACUUUGGAAGACUUUGUAUUAUUUGGAAUUUCAACAGAAUUCUUUUUGUCAACACUUCUAUUGCUGAUGGAGGACAGAAGUUUGCCAGAAAUCGCCUUUUAACACUAUCACUUUGGAAGACUUUGUAUUAUUUGGAAUUUCAACAGAAUUCUUUUUGUCAACACUUCUAUUGCUGAUGGAGUGACAACAAUUUAUGAAGAAUCCAAUGAUGCUGGACCUUACGUAGCCAUUAUUCACCAAACAAAUCGUAAGAACAAGUGAUUGAAUGCAACACAUUUUUCUCAUUGGAAGGAUCUACAUUGCACUGAAAAACAGUGACAACAAUUUAUGAAGAAUCCAAUGAUGCUGGACCUUAUGUAGCCAUUAUUCACCAAACAAAUCGUAAGAACAAGUGAUUGAAUGCAACACAUUUUUCUUAUUGGAAGGAUCUACAUUGCACUGAAAAACAGUGACAACAAUUUAUGAAGAAUCCAAUGAUGCUGGACCUUAUGUAGCCAUUAUUCACCAAACAAAUCGUAAGAACAAGUGAUUGAAUGCAACACAUUUUUCUCAUUGGAAGGAUCUACAUUGCACUGAAAAACAGAUUCUCGUGGAAUGGGUUUAAGGCUGAAGAACCUUACUAUCACUAUUUUGUUGCCUUGGAUAUCUGUAUGUGUUGGAUCAGUGGAAUAUAUCACUGGAAGAGUGAAUGAGACUGUGCUGUUACCUUGCCACUUUGACAGCAGAAACAGCAAUAUUAAAGAGCUUGUCAUCACCUGGCAGCUUCCUGAAACCAACAGAGUGGUGCACAGUUUCUAUGAAGAAUUGGAUCACCCUGAGUACCAGGCUGAAGAGUACAAGGGCAGAACACAGCUGUUCCUAUCAGAAUGCAUCAGAGGCAAUGCUACACUCCAGAUUAUGUCACUUAUCCUUGCAGAUUCGGGAGAAUACAUUUGUUUUGUUCAUACAGAUGAUAGAAAUGAUCGGCAAACACAUUUAGUAAACCUUAAUGUCACUGAACCUGACAAUAAUGAAGUCGACAGUGAAGCUAAAAGUACAACUUCUCUAUAUGUAACUUUGCUACUUGUAACACCUUUUGUACUGGGUCUGAUCAUAUGCUUUAGAAUGAAACAAAAGAAGAAACAUCUUGUUAUGGCUAACACAAGUAAAAUGACCAGCUGAUUGUCCCCAUGGGCACAUGAGAACCAGGCAGUCAAUUUCUCAUUGUCACAUCAUCUCCACGAAGACAUGAGAACCACACAGCAUGUGUUACAACUCCCCUGGAAUGGAUAUGCUGUGGUGGAUUCAGAACACUGCAUGAUGUGGAGUAAAUACUAAAGUGUGAAUCAUGGAGGAUAAAGGCCUUAGUGAAUACAAAGCCAACAACCUGAAGAUAACUGAAUGGCAGGAAUAUAAUUUAGUGAAACUUCAAUCAUUUCUUCCAGCUGUACUUAGAGAUCUGACAGAAGAGAAACCAAGAAAAGAAUUACAAGAAAAAGUUAUGCAGCUCAACAACAUUAUUAAUUAGCUCCUGAAAAGAAUUUGAAGAAAUCAUAAGGAAUAAUAUUAAAAUGCUAUGUUACACAA